GGCGAACGGGUGAGGAACACGUGAGAAACCUGCCUUUCAUUCUGGGAUAACACCGGGAAACCGGUGCUAAUACCGGAUACUCCAUCUUGGCGGCAUCGCCGAGCUGGGAAAAAAUUUUGAUGAAAGAUGGUCUCGCGGCCUAUCAGCUAGUUGGUGAGGUAAAGGCUCACCAAGGCGACGACGGGUAGCCGGCCUGAGAGGGCGACCGGCCACACUGGGACUGAGACACGGCCCAGACUCCUACGGGAGGCAGCAGUAGGGAAUAUUGGGCAAUGGGCGAAAGCCUGACCCAGCGACGCCGCGUGAGGGAUGAAGGUCUUCGGAUUGUAAACCUCUUUCAGUAGGGAAGAAGCGAAAGUGACGGUACCUAAAGAAGAAGCACCGGCUAACUAUGUGCCAGCAGCCGCGGUAAUACAUAGGGUGCAAGCGUUGUCCGGAAUUAUUGGGCGUAAAGAGCUCGUAGGUCGUUUGUCGCGUCGAUUGUGAAAAUCUGAGGCUCAACCUCAGACCUGCAGUCGAUACGGGCAAACUAGAGUGUGGUAGGGGAGACUGGAAUUCCUGGUGUAGCGGUGGAAUGCGCAGAUAUCAGGAGGAACACCAAUGGCGAAGGCAGGUCUCUGGGCCAUAACUGACACUGAGGAGCGAAAGUGCGGGGAGCGGACAGGAUUAGAUACCCUGGUAGUCCGCACCGUAAACGGUGGGCACUAGUUGUGGGAACCUUCCACGGUUUCCGCGACGCAGCAAACGCAUUAAGUGCCCCGCCUGGGGAGUACGAUCGCAAGAUUAAAACUCAAAGGAAUUGACGGGGCCCCGCACAAGCAGCAGAGCAUGCGG
rnacentral:rRNA from 1 species